GAUGAACGCUGGCGGCGUGCCUAAUACAUGCAAGUCGAGCGAACAGAUGAGGAGCUUGCUCCUCUGACGUUAGCGGCGGACGGGUGAGUAACACGUGGAUAACCUACCUAUAAGACUGGGAUAACUUCGGGAAACCGGAGCUAAUACCGGAUAAUAUAUUGAACCGCAUGGUUCAAUAGUGAAAGACGGUUUUGCUGUCACUUAUAGAUGGAUCCGCGCCGCAUUAGCUAGUUGGUAAGGUAACGGCUUACCAAGGCGACGAUGCGUAGCCGACCUGAGAGGGUGAUCGGCCACACUGGAACUGAGACACGGUCCAGACUCCUACGGGAGGCAGCAGUAGGGAAUCUUCCGCAAUGGGCGAAAGCCUGACGGAGCAACGCCGCGUGAGUGAUGAAGGUCUUCGGAUCGUAAAACUCUGUUAUUAGGGAAGAACAAAUGUGAAAGUAACUAUGCACGUCUUGACGGUACCUAAUCAGAAAGCCACGGCUAACUACGUG
rnacentral:rRNA from 1 species